rnacentral:rRNA from 1 species
UUUAAAAGUGUUAACUACCGCAGAGAAAAUAAAUCCAGAUGGUUUUCCCCGUCAGACUCCCCCUUUCUUUUUUUAACAAUUUAUUCAUUUUUAAGCUUGCAACGCAGGUCACAUUUAACGCGGUUGCGCAGAAGAAGCACCGGCUAACUCCGUGCCAGCAGCCGCGGUAAUACGGAGGGUGCAAGCGUUAAUCGGAAUUACUGGGCGUAAAGCGCACGCAGGCGGUCUGUCAAGUCGGAUGUGAAAUCCCCGG